rnacentral:rRNA from 1 species
AUUGAACGCUGGCGGCAUGCCUUACACAUGCAAGUCGAACGGCAGCAUGGAGAGCUUGCUCUCUGAUGGCGAGUGGCGAACGGGUGAGUAAUGCAUCGGAACGUACCGUGUAAUGGGGGAUAACGUAGCGAAAGUUACGCUAAUACCGCAUACGACCUGAGGGUGAAAGCAGGGGAUCGCAAGGCCUUGAGUUAUACGAGCGUCCGAUGUCAGAUUAGAUAGUUGGUGAGGUAAAGGCUCACCAAGGCGACGAUCUGUAGCGGGUCUGAGAGGAUGAUCCGCCACACUGGGACUGAGACACGGCCCAGACUCCUACGGGAGGCAGCAGUGGGGAAUUUUGGACAAUGGGGGCAACCCUGAUCCAGCCAUGCCGCGUGAGGGAAAAAGGCCUUCGGGUUGUAAAGCUCUUUCGGCCGGGAAGAAAUCGCACAGGCUAAUACUCUGUGUGGAUGACGGUACCGGCAUAAGAAGCACCGGCUAACUACGUGCCAGCAGCCGCGGUAA